AAACGAUGAAAGCGGAUGACGAGGAAUAUCGUAAAAUGUUCCAAGAUUACAAGAAUAUACUUUUAGCUUAUGCCCUUUUCAAGACUGUUUACCAGGCAUUUCCCAUAUUCCACACAUUUGGCGAAUUUUACCGAAAUAUCAUGUACUUUCACUUGAUGCUCUAUUGUCUCAGGACUUCUGAUGGUUUUGGAGUCAAUGCUUACAUACACUUUGUAGCAAUAUUUUUAUGGAUUAUAAAUGAUCUGGUAUUAGAUGCCGUGUUUUGUUCAAACUGUGAGAAGUUCUAUUUAACUG